CGGCACGGGUGAGUAACACGUAUCCAACCUGCCGUCUACUCUUGGACAGCCUUCUGAAAGGAAGAUUAAUACAAGAUGGCAUCAUGAGUCCGCAUGUUCACAUGAUUAAAGGUAUUCCGGUAGACGAUGGGGAUGCGUUCCAUUAGAUAGUAGGCGGGUAACGGCCCACCUAGUCUUCGAUGGAUAGGGGUUCUGAGAGGAAGGUCCCCCACAUUGGAACUGAGACACGGUCCAA
rnacentral:rRNA from 1 species